rnacentral:rRNA from 1 species
AGUGAACGCUGGCGGUAGGCCUAACACAUGCAAGUCGAACGGCAGCACAGUAAGAGCUUGCUCUUACGGGUGGCGAGUGGCGGACGGGUGAGGAAUACAUCGGAAUCUACUUUUUCGUGGGGGAUAACGUAGGGAAACUUACACUAAUACCGCAUACGACCUACGGGUGAAAGCAGGGGAUCUUCGGACCUUGCGCGAUUGAAUGAGCCGAUGUCGGAUUAGCUAGUUGGCGGGGUAAAGGCCCACCAAGGCGACGAUCCGUAGCUGGUCUGAGAGGAUGAUCAGCCACACUGGAACUGAGACACGGUCCAGACUCCUACGGGAGGCAGCAGUGGGGAAUAUUGGACAAUGGGCGCAAGCCUGAUCCAGCCAUACCGCGUGGGUGAAGAAGGCCUUCGGGUUGUAAAGCCCUUUUGUUGGGAAAGAAAAGCAGCAGGUUAAUACCCCGCUGUUCUGACGGUACCCAAAGAAUAAGCACCGGCUAACUUCGU